AUUGGACGCUGGCGGCAUGCUUUACACGUGCAAGUCGAACGGCAGCGCGGGCUUCGGCCUGGCGGCGAGUGGCGAACGGGUGAGUAAUACAUCGGAACGUGCCCAGUAGUGGGGGAUAGCUCGGCGAAAGCCGGAUUAAUACCGCAUACGACCUGAGGGUGAAAGCGGGGGAUCUUCGGACCUCGCGCUAUUGGAGCGGCCGAUGGCAGAUUAGCUAGUUGGUGGGGUAAAGGCCUACCAAGGCGACGAUCUGUAGCUGGUCUGAGAGGACGACCAGCCACACUGGGACUGAGACACGGCCCAGACUCCUACGGGAGGCAGCAGUGGGGAAUUUUGGACAAUGGGCGAAAGCCUGAUCCAGCAAUGCCGCGUGUGUGAUGAAGGCCUUCGGGUUGUAAAGCACUUUUGGCGGGAACGAAAAGGACUGUGCCAAUACCACGGUUCGAUGACGGUACCCGCAGAAUAAGCACCGGCUAACUACGUG
rnacentral:rRNA from 1 species